UUUACGGGAGGCAGCAGUGGGGAAUUUUCCGCAAUGGGCGCAAGCCUGACGGAGCAAUACCGCGUGAGGGAAGACUGCCUGUGGGUUGUAAACCUCUUUUUUCAGGGAGGAAUAAAAUGACGUGUACCUGAAGAAUAAGCAUCGGCUAACCCCGUGCCAGCAGCCGCGGUAAU
rnacentral:rRNA from 1 species